rnacentral:rRNA from 1 species
AUUGAACGCUGGCGGCAGGCCUAACACAUGCAAGUCGAAUGGUAACAGGAAACAGCUUGCUGUUUCGCUGACGAGUGGCGGACGGGUGAGUAAUGUCUGGGAAACUUCCUGAUGGAGGGGGAUAACUACUGGAAACGGUAGCUAAUACCGCAUAACGUCGCAAGACCAAAGAGGGGGACCUUCGGGCCUCUUGCCAUCAGAUGUGCCCAGAUGGGAUUAGCUAGUAGGUGGGGUAACGGCUCACCUAGGCGACGAUCCCUAGCUGGUCUGAGAGGAUGACCAGCCACACUGGAACUGAGACACGGUCCAGACUCCUACGGGAGGCAGCAGCGGGGAAUAUUGCACAAUGGGCGCAAGCCUGAUGCAGCCAUGCCGCGUGUAUGAAGAAGGCCUUCGGGUUGUAAAGUACUUUCAGCGGGGAGGAAGGGAGUAAAGUUAAUACCUUUGCUCAUUGACGUUACCCGCAGAAGAAGCACCGGCUAACUCCGUG